rnacentral:snRNA from 1 species
GUGCUUGCUUUGGCAACACAUGUACUAAAAUUGGAACGAUACAGAGGAGAUUAGCAUGGCCCCUGUGUAAGGAUGACACGCAAAUUCAUAUUUUUUU